rnacentral:rRNA from 1 species
UAAGGAAUUUUGCGCAAUGAGCGAAAGCUUGACGCAGCAACGCCGCGUGAUCGAAGAAGCUCUGCGGAGUGUAAAGAUCUGUCAUAGGGGAAGAAGAAUUUCGUUAUUAACACCAUCGGAACGUGACGGUACCCUAUAAGAAAGCCCCGGCUAACUUCGUGCCAGCAGCCGCGGUAAUACGAGGGGGGCAAGCGUUGUCCGGAUUUAUUGGGCGUAAAGAGUUCGUAGGCGGGUUAGUCAGUCGAAAUUGAAAUCCCACGGCUUAACCGUGGUUCCGGUUUUGAUACUGCUAAUCUUGAGUGAGACAGAGGUAAGCGGAAUUCCUGGUGUAGCGGUGAAAUGCGUAGAUAUCAGGAGGAACACCAAAGGCGAAGGCAGCUUACUGGGUCUAUACUGACGCUGAGGAACGAAAGCGUGGGGAGCAAACAGG